rnacentral:tRNA from 1 species
GUCGGGGUAGCUCAGCUGGUUAGAGCACGCGCUUCAUAAGCGUGAGGUCGCGGGUUCGAGCCCCGCCCCCGACA